UACGUAGGGAGCAAGCGUUGUCCGGAAUCAUUGGGCGUAAAGCGCGCGUAGGUGGCCCGGUAAGUCCGCUCUGAAAGUCACAGGCUCAACCUGUGAAAGCGGGUGGAUACUGCCGGGCUAGAGUCCGGAAGAGGCGAGUGGAAUUCCUGGUGUAGCGGUGGAAUGCGCAGAUAUCAGGAGGAACACCAACGGCGAAGGCAGCUCGCUGGGACGGUACUGACACUGAGGCGCGAAAGCAUGGGGAGCGAACAGG
rnacentral:rRNA from 1 species